AAGACCUUGCACUUUUGGAGCGGCCGAUGUCUGAUUAGCUAGUUGGUGGGGUAAUGGCCUACCAAAGCUUCGAUCAGUAGCUGGUCUGAGAGGACGGCCAGCCACACUGGGACUGAGACACGGUCCAGACUCCUACGGGAGGCAGCAGUGGGGAAUUUUGGACAAUGGGCGCAAGCCUGAUCCAGCCAUGCCGCGUGAGUGAAGAAGGCCUUCGGGUUGUAAAGCUCUUUCAGCCGGGAAGAAAAGGUUGCGACUAAUAAUCGCAAUUCAUGACGGUACCGAAAGAAGAAGCACCGGCUAACUACGUGCCAGCAGCCGCGGUAAUACGUAGGGUGCGAGCGUUAAUCGGAAUUACUGGGCGUAAAGGGUGCGCAGGCGGUUUUGUAAGUCAGAUGUGAAAUCCCCGGGCUUAACCUGGGAACU
rnacentral:rRNA from 1 species